UAUAGUUUGAUCCUGGCUCAAGACGAACGCUGGCGGCGUGCUUAACACAUGCAAGUCGAGCGAAGUAUUCAAGAUAUAUUUCUUCGGAUUGAAGUCUUGAAUAUCUUAGCGGCGAACGGGUGAGUAACGCGUGAGAAACCUGCCUUUCACAAAGGGAUAGCCUCGGGAAACUGGGAUUAAUACCUUAUGAUACUUCAAAUUCGUAUGAAAUUGAAGUUAAAGCGUAAAGCGGUGAAAGAUGGUCUCGCGUCCCAUUAGUUUGUUGGUGAGGUAACGGCUCACCAAGACCGCGAUGGGUAGCCGGCCUGAGAGGGUGAACGGCCACACUGGAACUGAGACACGGUCCAGACUCCUACGGGAGGCAGCAGUGGGGAAUAUUGCACAAUGGAGGAAACUCUGAUGCAGCGACGCCGCGUGAGUGAAGAAGGCCUUCGGGUCGUAAAACUUUGUCCUAGGGGACGAUAAUGACGGUACCCUAGGAGGAAGCCCCGGCUAACUACGUGCCAGCAGCCGCGGUAAUACGUAGGGGGCAAGCGUUGUCCGGAUUUACUGGGUGUAAAGGGCGCGUAGGCGGUUAUCUAAGUCAGCUGUGAAAGUCCAGGGCUUAACCCUGGAAUUGCAAUUGAAACUAAAUAACUUGAGUUAAGGAGAGGAGAGCGGAAUUCCUAGUGUAGCGGUGAAAUGCGUAGAUAUUAGGAAGAACACCAGUGGCGAAGGCGGCUCUCUGGACUUAAACUGACGCUGAGGCGCGAAAGCGUGGGUAGCGAACAGGAUUAGAUACCCUGGUAGUCCACGCCGUA
rnacentral:rRNA from 1 species